GACUGAAUAACACAAGGUUGUGAACAAUAUCAACAUAACAGAAAGCAUUCAGAGUAACAAUUCAACAUCUAGAUGAAUUUGUAGUGAUGAAGGAUCUAAAAGUUAGGCAACAGUUAUCUGUGGUCAACAGCAGUCCAGAAGCAGAUGAUCCUCCCUCUGACUUACCACCAUAAGGCCAAGAAGACUACAUCACAAUGAUUUGGUCAUUCCCCUCAAGUCCUGUCAUCACAUAGAUCCAAGCCACAUUUACAGUAUCUAUCAGUCAUUCAUGUAGCAUGGCUCUGCUGGAUGGAGGAGAGAUUGCCUGUUCACCAUUCCUGAACUUCAGUUUGUGAGGAGGGCAUUUUUUCCAGACAAUUUGAAACAGUCUGUAAUUCUUUUCUUGCCUGAAAACAAUUCAAUAAAAUUGC